rnacentral:rRNA from 1 species
UAGGGAAUCUUCGGCAAUGGGGGCAACCCUGACCGAGCAACGCCGCGUGAGUGAAGAAGGUUUUCGGAUCGUAAAGCUCUGUUGUAAGAGAAGAACGUGUGGGAGAGUGGAAAGUUCACACAGUGACGGUAACUUACCAGAAAGGGACGGCUAACUACGUGCCAGCAGCCGCGGUAAUACGUAGGUCCCGAGCGUUGUCCGGAUUUAUUGGGCGUAAAGCGAGCGCAGGCGGUUUACUAAGUCUGAAGUUAAAGGCAGUGGCUUAACCAUUGUUCGCUUUGGAAACUGUUAAACUUGAGUGCAGAAGGGGAGAGUGGAAUUCCAUGUGUAGCGGUGAAAUGCGUAGAUAUAUGGAGGAACACCGGUGGCGAAAGCGGCUCUCUGGUCUGUAACUGACGCUGAGGCUCGAAAGCGUGGGGAGCAAACAGG